UGUUAAAGAUGACCAUGAUCCAGGGAACGUGCUCAGGGGUGACAGAGAAAAAGCCAAGGCAGGGGCCUCUUUCUUAGCCUGGAAGACUGAGAAAUCCUGGCCAAGGGUCAAGGAGGCAGCAAGAAGAAAACUCCAGGCAAGGGUUCUCUGCAUAAUGCAGCUGCGAAUAUUGAGACAGAGAUGGUCUGGGAGGAGGGAAACAGAGAGCUAGAGUAGAGAAUCGAGGACGGGACGAUCUACACAGGAAUUUGGAAAUGGAGCCACGGCCAGCUGCGUCUGCAGUCCUCAGCAUUAACCCCAGCACCUGCAACAGAG
rnacentral:lncRNA from 1 species